GGCCGCGGUAUUCUAACCGUGCAAAGGUAGCGUAAUCAUUUGUCUCCCAAAUAGAGACCAGUAUGAAUGGCUAAAUGAGGACAAACCUGUCUCUUAUGACUAAUCAGUGAAACUGAUCUUCCAGUACAAAAGCUGGGAUAUAACCAUUAGACGAGAAGACCCCGUGGAGCUUCAAACCUACUAUUAAAAGGCAUUAAAUCAACUGCACCUGAUACGCGGUUUUAAGUUGGGGCGACUUCGGAACAAAGCAAAACUUCCGAGCACAGAACCAUAAAUUCUGAUAAAGGCCCACCAGCCACAAUCAAGAUUCACCAGACCCAGUACCACUGAUAAACGAACCAAGUUACCCCGGGGAUAACAGCGCUAUCUUCUUCAAGAGUCCAUAUCGACAAGAAGGUUUACGACCUCGAUGUUGGAUCAGGACACCCAAAUGGUGCAGCCGCUAUUAAAGGUUCGUUUGUUCAACGAUUAACAGUCCU
rnacentral:rRNA from 1 species